rnacentral:rRNA from 1 species
AAAUAUAUAUUCACACUAACAAACGCCCGGGUAUUACGAGCCUCAGCUUAAAACCCAAAGGACUUGACGGUGUCCCAUCCAACUAGAGGAGCCUGUUCUAUAAUCGAUAACCCCCGAUACACCUAACCCCCCCUUGCCAAUCAGCCUGUAUACCUCCGUCGCAAACUUACCAUAUGAAUGCCAAUAGUAGGUUAAAUGGUUAAAUCACCAACACGUCAGGUCAAGGUGCAGCUCAUGAUGGGGAAAGCAAUGGGCUACAAUUUCUAAAAUAGAACACACGGAAUGCUGCAUGAAACACAGCCACGAAGGCGGAUUUAGUAGUAAAAAGAAAAUAAAGUGUCCUUUUUAAUAAGGCCCUGGGACGUGU